AAAUUGCAAAAAGAAAUGAAAACGUCGUUUUAGAGUUAGAUGAACGUGAUAGCACUAUUUUAGAAUAUCGAUUGUUAUAAAUCUGAAUAUUCCUGAACGUACUACUUUUAUAUCUGUCGUGCCUAGAUGCCUGUGGAACGCAUUCGCAAGAAUCGCCUCUGCCAGAGGCCUAUAAUUAAGAAUCGUUAAAACAAAAGAAAAUAAAAAAAAAAAAUGAAAUAAUAAGCAACGAGUUAUACGCGACGUUACCAAAAUGGUGUGGUGAUUGCAUCACGAGUUUUUUCAAGAACGCUUACACAAAACGUUGCGUCGUUGCUCCGUCAGUUUCGCGGUUAACAAAAUAAAGAGAGAAGUAAAACGUUAUAUAGUAGUUUGUCGCUGGCAAGAGAAGCAAAGGAAACGAAAAAGAAAUGCGAAGAAUAGAAGCAAAUUUAGGAGUCGAGGAAAAAAUAACGAGGAUGGCCAUUGAGCAGUGGUCCAGCUACGUCCUCAGCAUCUUUACUAAAGGCUUUUUGGCUAAUUCCUCGUGUUACUCUUGUUUAUUGGAUAUAGAGAUUCCGAUACCGUGAAAAUAGUGAAGUUUAAAAAGAAAAAAAGAAUUACGAUCUAAGCGAAAUAUCUUUAGUCUUUGCGCUGCUGGCAGGCUGUUAUGUUUAAACAUUGUAAGGAAUGAACUUGUUGAGAAUAGAAAUACGGUUAGCACUUAUUAUUAAAUAACGAAAAUUAAAACCAAAUGAGAUAAAUAUAAAAAAAGAAAAAUUAUUUACUAUUUAAUCGCCCCUUCAGGAGGAGAAUGGCUGUUUUUGUUACGGAAAACCAUUAAACGAUAAGUAUUCUUGUCGAUACUUUUUAUUAUCAAGUGCAGUGUAAUCUCGAUAAAUCUCAUUGAAAACACACUGUAUCUUGUGCAACAAGUAUUUAAUAAUAAAAGUAUUUUUAGUAAAACUAUUUUAUUUGAAUAGGUUUGCAUUUUCAAUGGUACUCCUUUCAAUGAACAAUAAGUAACUAAAUUGCAUUCGAUCCAUGUAAUAUUCGAUGAUAUCGUUUCUGUUCAUUUCUAUUUUAUUUUCUCUCUUUGUUAGCUUCCGACAGCGAAAUCGCUAAUGUGGAUUAUCGGGAUUACAUUGUAUUUCUCAAUCGUUGAAAUCAAUCGCGAUGAAGAAUAAAUACAUAAUACUGUUCGAUAGAAGCGUCCCUCCGGUAAUGCAUGUUUCGAGGUUUCGUCUCUUACUGCGUCUAUUCUUUCACUUGUAUCAUCUAUGAUACGUCUUUGAAGUUUACGAAUUUUAUAGUAGAAUCAGAAGACCACUCGAAUUUUUCGUGCUUAAAUAUUCAAGAAGACUGUUACUGGCUCAUCGUUGAUCGAGUAUUAUCGAAUUUUCCUGACUUCCGUUCCCGCAAAUUGUGCCAGGAUUAAAUAAUAUAAAACAGAAACGAGAGAGAGAGAGAGAGAGAGAGCAUAAAGAAGAAAAAAAGAGAAUGAGAGAGAGAGAGAGAGAGAGAGAAAAUGAAAUUUGAUUUCAUUCGAUGUAGAUCGUUCUCUUGUAACUCCUGUAUGGGUUACCUCGAGUGAGUUUAAAGGUUCAUUUUCAGCAAUGUUUUAUACGUUUUUUAUGAUAUGAAAGUCAGCCAAUAAUCGUGUAUUUUGUAGAUAGAAAGAAAAACAACCUAUUAUGCGAAAGAAUGAUUUUAAAUGUUUUAUGUAAGGAGGAGCAAGGAUUUUCUGAAUUUAGAAAAUGAGCAAUCACGCUAUCGUAGGCAGCUUUCGAAUUUUGUAGAAACGUCUCUGUUCUUCCUUACGUAAAGUUCUACGAAAUAUUCGGGAGAACUAUUAUUCGAUGGAGAAUGAAAGCGAAAAAAAAAAAAAAAAAAGAAAGGAAGGGAAGAAAGGAAUGUUUAUAAAAUAUAAAGAGACCCAUAUGUACAGUGACUCGCUUCAAAACUAAAGGUACGAAUUUAUGAUGGAACGCGUACAGGACUGUGUAUCAAUGUUCGAUUAACAAAAUUUUUUUAAUGAUCGCCUGUCCGAUCGAUUCGUUUCCAUGCAUGCAUAUAUUCCUUUACAAUUUGUUGGAAGCAUAAUUUUAUAAUAAAUAAAUCAUUAUAAUGAAACGG